AGAGAGGUGAUUCACAAUAAGAA
rnacentral:tRNA from 1 species